UACAGAGGGUGCAAGCGUUAAUCGGAGUUACUGGGCGUAAAGGGCGCGUAGGUGGUUUAAUAAGUUAGUUGUGAAAGACCUGGGCUUAACCUGGGAAUUGCAGCUAAUACUGUUGAACUGGAGUACGGUAGAGGGUAGUGGAAUUUCCGGUGUAGCGGUGAAAUGCGUAGAUAUCGGAAGGAACAUCAGUGGCGAAGGCGACUACCUGGACUGAUACUGACACUGAGGCGCGAAAGCGUGGGGAGCGAACAGG
rnacentral:rRNA from 1 species